rnacentral:lncRNA from 1 species
UAAUUUAGAUUAUAUUGCAUUUGCAUGAUUGAUUCGUUUAUACACAUUUUGUGCUAUUUAAAUCGUAUGUCGAAAUUCAUUUUUUUGUAAGGAUGUACAAUUGGUGAUUAUUCUAAGUAAAAUAGUCGCAUUAAACCAUCAAGAAUUACAUAAUUCUCGAUUUAAUAUCGAGCCUACUUUUCAUACCCUUGUAAGUCGGUCGCUUUUAUGGAUCGCCGUCAACCUCACAUAGCUUACUCUUGGGCUUUCUUACAAUGAG